AGAAUUUAAGGGGGUCUUCCACCCUAAAAACAUUUUUUUCAAUAUAAAGGUUUUAUCAUCAUAUUUGAGUCAAAUAUGAUGGAAUAUCCUCAGCUGACGCAGGAUCAGUAGCUUUUACAUUCGUCGUUGCCAUAGUAACUAAGAUAGGCCUCGCUAUAGGGUAAAAUAUAGGGUUUGCUCCAAAAAUGAUGUGAGCCAAACUAAUUUACCGAGGAUUUUAGAAACAGC